CUAUAGCGGAAUACACAAAAAGAUGCAAACUAGAUAACAACAGAAUAAACCUCUCACGGAAUGCUAGCUAUACUACGUAAAAAGGUGUACAAAGUAAAUAAGAGAGCGGGAGGUACCAACUCCCAGUGGAAAAACCUGAAAGUAGGCUUUGAUGCAUCCGAGGUCAACAGCUACCAACUCUUGCACGUCCCGGCCGGUGUUGCUUAGCUCUUCACUCCCAAAUGCCGCAAACUGGCCUCGCUGCCGCGACUAGUACCUGGGGCAAGUUUUCCUGAAGCUUAUCGGAACGUGUAGUUCUAUUGCGUCCUGCCGAAAGUCUGACUUCACUCCCAAACGCCGCAAACUGGCCUCGUCGCCGCGACUAGUUCCUGGGGCAAAUUUUCCUGAAGCUUAUCGGAACGGGUAGUUCUGCCGCGUCUUGCCGAAAAUCUGAAUGGAGUCGCCGGAAGUACUGUAGCUUGCCGAAAAUCCUCAUCGGAAAAAUAAGGCACCUGUCCAAGAAAACAGAACACACCCACACAAAGCAGAAGAGAGAAUAGGAAUAAAAGAAAAAAGAAAAAGAAAAAGAAGUCGAAAAGACGAAAUCGCCGGUCGAAAUUGCUAAACUGGAUGAGUUUUGGGGAAAGGGAAGAUAGGGUUUACGGGGAGGUUUUGGGGGGAAUCAGAUUCUAGGGACGUGGAGUAUUAAGAGAGAAAAUUGACAUUUCUAGUUAUAUGUGCAUUUCAAGGCUCGUUUCCAGUUGUAUUUUGGAGCACGAAAGAGGAGCUGAAAUCUGGGUUUAGUUUGACAAAGAAGAAGAAAAGGAAAAGGUUGUCAAGAAGCAAGGUCCCCAGUAAUUAAAAACAAAUCUCUAGAAUUUCCUUAUACUUUGAAAUUUUCCAAUAAAAGAAAUAGAAUCGACUCAUAUGAUGAAAACGAAAUAGAAGUCAACUGAAGAAAUGGAAAACUAUUGUUCGAAAUCAAUCUCAAGAUAAUCAGUAAAUUAAACUAUUCACACAUCAAUGAGAAGAGGAAAUAUGAAAUAACAAAUGAACCAAGUUGGAAUACAACAUCAAAUAAAGCAAGGAAAUCCGAAACAUGAACCACAAAUCGAGAUACGCAACUCGCCAGCAACUACAACCGGAACCGACGACUGGAGCUUUUACACUAUGACUUCAGGCAACCGGAAAUGUAGAAUGAGGAUGAACUGCCAAAGAAUCAAAAAAGAAGGGGGAAUAGGGAGGAGAUAGUGUGGAGAGAGGAGAGCUGAGAGAAAGAGAGGAGAGAGAGGAGAGAGGUAACUUA
rnacentral:lncRNA from 1 species